rnacentral:rRNA from 1 species
UCAUUACCGAGUUUACACUCCCCACCCCAAUGUGAACGUUACCAAACUGUUGCCUCGGCGGGAUUUCUGCCCCGGGCGCGUCGCAGCCCCGGACCAAGGCGCCCGCCGGAGGACCAAUUUACAAACUCUUUUGUAUAUCCCAUCGCGGAUUCUUUACAUUCUGAGCUUUCUCGGCGCUCCUAGCAGAGCGUUUCGAAAAUGAAUCAAAACUUUCAACAACGGAUCUCUUGGUUCUGGCAUCGAUGAAGAACGCAGCGAAAUGCGAUAAGUAAUGUGAAUUGCAGAAUUCAGUGAAUCAUCGAAUCUUUGAACGCACAUUGCGCCCGCCAGUAUUCUGGCGGGCAUGCCUGUCCGAGCGUCAUUUCAACCCUCGAACCCCUCCGGGGGGUCGGCGUUGGGGAUCGGCACUUACCUGCCGGCCCCGAAAUACAGUGGCGGUCUCGCCGCAGCCUCUCCUGCGCAGUAGUUUGCACACUCGCACCGGGAGCGCGGCGCGUCCACGGCCGUAAAACAACCCAAACUUCUGAAAUGUUGACCUCGGAUCAGGUAGGAAUACCCGCUG